CCAACACCUUUAUUGGAAAGUUUCUUGAGCUGACAGUUCAUUUGAAAUUUAUCCCUGAGAAGUUUGCACUGUGGAUCCUGCCUUUAUAAGAUGCUGACUUAUUUCCUUCACUCCUUCAACUGCAUGUGGGCAGACUAGGAAGGAACUAGCAGGAUUUCCUGAAUGAUAGACAUUCUCCUCCUUAUCUCCAGUCAUACGUCAGCAAUCCUACCUCUCUCCUUGAUAAUUGAGGAUGACAUUCUGCGGUUGAAAAAAAGGGUGAAGUUAUUUCCAGAAAGAAAAAAAACCUCUUUCACCCUGGAGCAGCCAUUUGGAAAUUAUUUAAUCACACUAAGAGGAACCUUGAACACAUUAGGUUAUUUUCAGAUGAUCUUUCCAGAGGCUACCCAAACAAUGGCUGCUAAUCCACAUGAAAAAUCCCUCUGGAAAGAAGAAGCAUUUCCAGAAAGAGUUGAACUUUGACCAACCUCAAAACUUCCUAAAAUAUUCCACUCCCUUCCCCGAUUUAGAGUGUUUCUACCCUCCUUCACAGUCUUGUCUUCUCCUGCCAGAGAGUUUUGAAUAAAGUCCUGUGGGAAUGGUGCUCUGGUGGAUUUUCUUCUCCAAGCAGAAAAUACUACAGGAACUCAGAGGUGAGGCGGGUGAGAUUAUUUUGAGCUUUUUUGAUCAAUGGAGAUUGAGGGAGUGAGGAAAUAUUUGAAUUUAGCUUAAAUGAGUGAAGUAUUUACAGAUUAAACAAUAGAUUUUAUAUAUUUAGAGUCUAUUAUUAGAGAUAAGUUUUUACCCUGUGUUCCUACAUAUAUCAAGGCUAAAAAUAUGUGUAAGACAAAAUUAGAACCUGUAAAACUCCAUGGGAAGGUAAGCAUAUGAAGAUAUGCACCAAUUAAAAUGUAAAUAAAGCCAGGAACUGUCAGAGAGUACUUUAGUUUCUGCUAUGUUUUUGAGUAUUAAUAUGGAUUUCUAAAACCCGCAUACAUUCUAAUCCACAGAGUCUCAAAAAUUUCACUGCAAAAGGAGCUUUUAAAUGAAAAACCAUUUACUUGGCAUGGCAAAAGAGCCAGAGCUUUCAAAGAAAUAUUUUUUAAAACCCUUUGAUUUAUUAUAAUGUGACAAGAACAUUAUCACUAAAAACAAAUAUAAAUGUGUUAUUUAAGGUAUGAAUGCAGAAACAAUAUAAUCAUCAAAAUAUUUAUGUUAAGUUCUGAGCUACUCAUAACAGCCAGGUUAAACAUGUGUUCAUUCCCACAAAUUUCAAUUGCCCCUAAAUGUGUUCUUUUGUCCUAGUCAUUAUGCGUUUCAGUGCUGAGUACUGUUCUUUUCAGAUAUGGAAGAAAUAAAGUGGGACCUUUUUCUCUGUCUUUCAAGUGGGAUUUGAGUGGAGUUACUCUGUGUUUACCUCGUCUACCCUUUGGGUAUCUAUGGUCUGAAUGUUCAUGGUCCUCAAUGCAAUAGUAUUAAAGUGUGGGGCCUUAGGAGAUACUUAGGUCAUGAUGGCAGAACCCUCAUGAAUGGGAUUAGCGACCUUAGAGAAAAGGCCCAGAGAGCUGCCUCUUCCUUCUACCAAGUGAGAAGGCACCAUCUCUGAACUAGAGAGUGAGCCUUCAACAGACAUCAAAUCUGCUGGUGUUUUGACUAUAGCUCCCCAGGCUUUAGAACUGCAAGGAAUAAAUUUGUUAUUUAUAAAUUACCUACUUUAUGGUAUUUUUGUUAUAGGAGUCAGAAUGGACUAAGGUAAUAUUUUAGAUUAAAGGACCGAGGCUCUGCUUAUGGACCAGUGGUGUGCUGGCAAAUGUUUUCACAACAGGCUGUUUGAAAAAAAAGUAGGGAACUGAUUUGUAGUGUUUGCCAAUUUUCGUGCUAUAAAUACUACCACUGUGGCCAUUUCUGACUACCAAUGCAAUGUCACCGAAAUACAGCUGGAAAGAGAUGUACUGGGGGACACCAUUACAAAUAUUUUCAUCGCACAGGCAUGAUAGACGUGAAUAACUUCAAGGGCAUAGGUCAAAGUAAAUGUAGGAAAUUAAUUAGGACAUGAUAAGUUUUGCAUAUUUAUUUCCUUUGCUUUAGUAUUAUUUAUUUAAUUAGAAGUUCAUAUAAUUUAACUUUAAAUAACCACUAUGUUUAACAACCAGCUUGCAAAAUGCCUGAAAAUUUAACAACAGGCUUCCAUAAACUGAUAAAAGCAUGCUCCAGAAAAGCACAUGUUUUGUGUGUUUACUCCUUUGUUUUCGAAAUAUGGUCCUACAGACUGGCAUUUCAUCAUCAACACCACUUAGGAAUUUGUUAUAAAUGCAGAAUCUCAAGUUCCAUGCCAGAUAUACCUAAUCAGAUUCUUCAUUUUAAUAAUAUGUUCAGAUAAUUUCUACUCAAAUUACAGUUUUAGAAGUCCUGGAAAUUUCACUCUAAGUCCAUGCCAGGCUCAAGGAUGGGACAGUUCUUGAGUAACUGAAAAGUGCACUGCUAACACAAGUUUUUAAAUUUGGAGGGAUAUAUUUUUAAAGGCUGUAACUGAAAAACUCAAUCAGAUUUUAAAUCUUGAAAGCUAGGGGGAACAUGGAAUUGGGACACAGGUUAAAGUAGUGGUCUACAUGUAUAAUCCACAUGACUUUAGCUAUAACCCGAUUAAAAGUAAAUACCCACUUAAUUGUCACAGCCACAGGAAAGGCCUAAUGAUAUAGCAAAGAGUGUGUCACGGCACUAUGUCUUCCAUGAUGAAAACAUCUAAUUUUAAGUUGGAUGUCAACAAUCACAUUUUUCUUCCUGAAAAUGAGUAUUUAAAAUUCUAUUCAUAAUGAACAGAACU
rnacentral:lncRNA from 1 species